GCCCCUGUAUCCCAAUUGGUAGAGGAAGCAGCCUCAAAAUCUGCGCAGUGUGGGUUCGAGUCCCACCGGGGGGCACCG
rnacentral:tRNA from 1 species